rnacentral:piRNA from 1 species
UUAGCACAGUUCUAAUGCCAGAAAAGAGA